GAUGAACGCUGGCGGCGUGCCUAACACAUGCAAGUCGAACGAAAAGACCCUGCUUUUGUGGGGUGCUCGUGUGCCGAACGCGUGAGUAAAACGCGUGUAAACCGCCCCUGUCUGUGUGGUAACAUCUGGAAAAUGGGGCUAAUACCGCAUAGGAGCUCCUGCAGCAUGGUGGGCGUUGGAAAGUUUCGGCGGUUGGGGAUGGAAUCGCGGCUUAUCAGCUUGUUGGUGAGGUAGUGGCUUACCAAGGGUUAGACGGGUAGCCGGCAUGGGAGGGGGACCGGGCACAUUGGGACUGAGAUACGGACCAGACGCGUACGGGAGGCAGCAGGCGAGAACAUGGCGCAGUGGGCGGGAGCGUGAUACAACGACGCCGCGUGCGGGAUGACCUGUUACUGGUUGUGAACCGCUUUCUCCUGUGACGAGGCGUGAGUGACGGUAAUUGGUAAAGAAGCACCGGCUAACUACGUG
rnacentral:rRNA from 1 species